rnacentral:rRNA from 1 species
CGCAUCUGUGCAUGCAGCAUAUCAAUAAGCGGAGGAAAAGAAACUAACAAGGAUUCCCUUAGUAACGGCGAGUGAAGCGGGAAGAGCUCAAAUUUGAAAUCUUCAAGGUUUUACCUUGACGAAUUGUAGUUUAAAGAAGUGUUUUCUGCUGAAGUUUUGGUAAAAGUUCUUUGGAAUAGGACAUCAUAGAGGGUGAGAAUCCCGUAUUUGACCAUUAUUUUCAGCUGUGUGAUACACUUUCAAAGAGUCGGAUUGUUUGGGAAUGCAGUCCAAAAUGGGUGGUAAAUUUCAUCUAAAGCUAAAUAUUGGCGAGAGACCGAUAGCGAACAAGUACCGUGAGGGAAAGAUGAAAAGAACUUUGAAAAGAGAGUUAAACAGUACGUGAAAUUGUCAAAAGGGAAGCGUUUGACACCAGUGUUGUUUUCUCGAAAAUCAAUUAAGAAUGGCUCGAUUUUGUAGUUGCUGAUGACCUUAAAGCUCACUGUACAUUUUUUCGAUGUCUUUUUUAAUGCACUUUUCGGUUUAACAAGUCAACAUCAAUUUCUUUUGUAUGUAAAAGGAGUCAUUGGAAGGUGGCUUUCUUUUCGGAGAAAGUGUCUAUAGCCUUAUGCCUCUACAAUCGGAGAGACUGAGGUCUGCAGCGUAGACUCUUCGGGGUUAGAUACAUUUGUGCUAAGUUAGUAGCUUUUUAUAGACAACUUGUUGACCAUAGUUAGUCAUUGUAGGCUUACUCGCUUAGUGCUAUUUUACCUACGCUUAGGAUGUUGAAGAUAUGCGCGACACG